rnacentral:lncRNA from 1 species
CAAUAGUGAGUUCUGAAGCUGCUUGAUGUCUAUAUAGAAAUAGCAUACAUAACAGGUAGAAUUAGAGAUCAUAGGGAUAAGACUAUUGAAUAAAUGUCACUGAGACAAUUAAUUAUGCAGAUGUAAAAUUUAGAUCCCUAUCUGUCUACACUAAUACCAAUUACUUGAAAGAGUAAAUAUAACAAGGCUUGGGAAAUAUAGGUAACAUACACUAGAAUAGGAAGAUCAAAGAAAGCGGUCAUCCUCUGACACAUGGUGGCCACUCUCUUCAUUGUUCAGCUAUCAUCAAGGUAAGUCACAAAAAUAAAUAAAGACCCAAUAACCUUAAAAAGAGGAAUAUGGGUAUUAAAAAAGGGAAACCUUAAAUAGAAACUGAAGAAAAAUUUUAUACCAAAUAAAAUUGAUUUUUUUAAAAAGAUUUAUUUAUUUAUUCAUUCAGAGAGAGUGAGAGAGAGGCAGAGACACAGGCAGAGGGAGAAGCAGGCUCCACGCAGGAAGCCACACGUGGGACUCGAUCCCGGGUCUCCAGGAUCACACCCCGGGCUGCAGGCGGCGCCAAACCGCUGCGCCACAGGGGCUGCCAUAAAAUUGAUUUAAAUGAGAAAGACCAGAGACUAAAAUUUGGAAAAUUAUAAGACUAAGCAUUUAAUAAGUUAGAACAAAACAUUAUUAAAGAAAAGAAACUUUAGUACAUUUGUUGACUUUGAAUCUCUAAAGUUUCAAGAUUAUUUUCGUGUACCAAUGACGCCAUACUCAGAAAACUUUUCCAGCAUGCUAAACAUAAUUUGGAGUCUACCACUCAUGUUCUACAGAUCACCCCCUAUCCCCACAAUUGAAAUCUUGAUGAUGGAGAGUUGCUAUCUAAUAGGUAAAAGAUAUUCUGUCUGGAUUCCUGAAACUUAA